rnacentral:lncRNA from 1 species
GCUGAAUAGCUGAGAGGCGCACCCGGGCGGCCAGCUGGGCUCGGAGUGCAGCGGGGUUAGGAUGGACGAGGACGUGUUGCACCCUGAAGAGCCUCAUCAUCGCCUGCUCUUGAGGUUCACAGAUGAUACCUUUGAUCCAGAACUUGCAGCAACAAUAGGUGAGCCUGUGUUUAAAAAUUCAAUAGAAAUGUCUAAUAUUUUCUUGCCUUUGGGCUUUUUUAUCUAAAUCCUUCUACCUUCCUCUUACCACGCCACCACCUCCAUGUCUGUUGACAUUUUAUUUGUCCUUCAAGAUUUAACUUUGGUAUCGUUAAAUCUCUUGAAGCCUUUCUAGAUCUUACCAAGAGAAAAUAAUUUCCUUAUCUGUUGUAUCAUGGGACUUUAUUAAAACUACUGAUAUUAUGGUUAUCUAUACACACAUUUCUUUCCUCUAUUAUGGAUUGUCUUUUAUUUUGCAAUAUACAACAGUUAUUUGAGUACUUACUGUAUACCAGGCACUGUUACUAAGAGGUGGGGGUAUAAUAGUGAAUAACAUAAACUUGGUCUCUGUCAUCAUGGACCUAACAGUAAAGUACAUUAAUUGUGUAUGUUCAGCAUUUGCUACAGUGUUUGACAUGUAUUCUGAUCUUUACAUAUGUAUUCAUAUUAGUUAUUAAGGACUGUUAGGAGCAAUGAUACUUAAAUGCCUUUUAAAGAUAAAAUUUAGAUGGCCUGAAAGUGGUUAGUCACACUAACUUAUGAAAAUAUAUGAGAAGAUAGAGAUAAGUAUUUUGGUGUCAUGUGUUUAGACCAUAGACAACAACGUAAAGGAAUGAAAAGACCGCUUGGAAUAGUUGAAAGGUAGCUGAGCUGAGUCAGAGCUAGAUAAUAGUCUUGGCUUUGCCUUGAAUUAGGUGUAAUCUUGACUUACUAACUUCAUCUGUAAAUUGGGAGGUUUUGGGGAGAGAGAAUACUUUUUUUUCCCUGAGCUUUAAAAUUUAAAUCAUAAAAUUUUAAAUUUGAUGAUCUGAUGAGAGUAUAGUAAAGAUGAUCCUAGCAGUAUUAUUAGGGAAAGCAAAUAGUUUAUCUUAACUGCCUUUAUUUGUUUACAUUUAUUGUAUGUCUAUUUUUUCAGACUCAUAUAUCUGUAAAAAUAGCAAAAAUAAUUCUUGUAUAUCCUACUAAAUUACUCCAUCCAAAUGUUAAUAUUUGUCACAUUUGCUUUAUCAUUCUCUCUAUGUAUACACACACAGUAUUCUUUUAAAAAAAUGCAUUUUUUUCUGGUUUUUUAAAAUGAAUUAUUUGAGAGUGGAUUGCAGACAUGAUGUCUUUAAAAUGUCUACAUACUUUGUAUAUUUCUUAAAUCAACAUAGAUACAACUCUAUUGUCUAUACACAGAUUUUAUCAGUUAUCCCAUUAAUGUCCUACAUAGCAAAAGACAAAUAAUCGUUUUGGGUUCAGGAUCAUACAUUGAAUUUGGUUAUUUCUCUUCAGUCUCUCUUUUUUUUUUUUUUUGAGAUGGAGUCUCGCCCUGUCACCCAAGCUGGAGUGCAAUGGUGCAAUCUCAGCUCACUGCAACCUCCGCCUCCUGGGUUCAAACGAUUCUCCUGCCUCAGCCUCCGAAGUAGCUGAGAUUACAGGCACAUGCCACUGCGCCCAGCUAAUUUUUGUAUUUUUUUUUUUUUAAUUUUUGUAUUUUUAGUAGAGAUGGGAUAUCACCAUGUUGGCCAGGCUGGUCUUGAACUCCUGACCGCAGAUGAUUCACCCACCUCGGCCUCCCAAAGUGCUGGGAUUACAGGCAUGAGCCACUGCGCCUGGCCACUCUUCAGUCUCUUUUAAUCUGAACAGUUCUUCAGUCUUUGUGUUUCCAGGGCCUUGACAUUUUUGAAGAGUAAAUAAUUAUUUUGUAGAAUGCUGCUUAAUUUACAUAUAUUCGGUGUCCUUAUGGUUGGAUUCAGGUUAUGCACUUUUGGCAGGAAUUCCACAGAAGUGUUUCUCAGAGCACAGUGUCAGGAGGCACAUGAUGUCUGUUUGUCCCAUUUACUGGUGUUGGGACUUUGGUUACUAUUGGGUGAUACAUGCCAACUUUUUCCUCUGUGAAGUUAUUAUUUUUCCUCUUGUAAUGAAUAUAUUUCUUUUGGAGAGAUACAUCGAAACUUUAUUAGAUAUCCUCCUUUUCAUCGUAUUCUUUGCCCUCUUAUUUUAGCAUCCAUUGAUAUUUUUUGCCUGUGACAAGCGAGAAGGACAGUAUAUGAUCCUGCUGUUCUAACUGUGGUGGCUAUCAAAUGACAAUUUUUUUCAAAUGCCAUCACUCUGUCUACAUAUCUUAUUUGGAAUUCUGUAAGGAAGGGCUCUUUGUUUUAUUUUUAAAUUUGAGACAGAGUCUCACCCUGUCACUCAGCCUCCAGAGCAGCUGGGACUACAAACGUGUGCCACCAUGCCGGGCUAAUUUUUGUAUUUUCAGCAGAGGUGGGGUUUCACCAUGCUGCUGGCCAGGCUGGUCUCGAACUCCUGGCUUCAAGUAAUCUGCCCACCACAACCUCCCAAAGUGCUGGGAUUACAGGUGUGAGCCACUGCGCCCAACCAAGAGCUCCUUUUUGUUUUUCUUUUUUUGUGAAUUCGGAUUCUUUAUAUUCAGGAGUUUUACUUAAACUUUGAAUCUGAAAGAAACUUUAGGAGGAGCUCAUAGAUUUGUGGGAAGAAGCAAAUCUACAUUAUUUUCUCUCUUCUAAAAUCAUAUUCCAUGUAUUUUGAUCUUUUACUGAAUUUUAACACAUUGUUUCAUCACUAACAUAAAGUGUUUCAAUAGUUUUUGUAACUCACACACAAAUACUGGAUUUAAAAGUUAUAUACCUGAGUAUAUUUUUGUGGCAGGUGGUCCACUUUACAUCACUUUCCAGACAACUGGAAUUUGAGACAAUGUCUGUGACAGCAGUCCCUUUGUUUUCACCUGGCAUAUGUUCUCAUCAUACUGCUUGCAGUCAUAUCAUGCUGCAGGUAAAAAGCUUUGAUUGGUUUUUAAAUCUCUUACUUUGUGAAAAAUAUUUUAUUGUGGUAAAAUAUAUAUGACAUAAAAUAUGCUAUUAUAACAACUCUUACAUGUAUAAUUUGGUGGCAUUAAUUACAUCCACACUGUCAUGCAGCCAUCACAACUAUCUGUUCCCAAAUAUUUUUCAUCACCCCAAACAGGAACUCUGUUAUCAUUCUGCAGUAACUCCCCAUCACCACCAGCCCCCCAUUGCCAGUUAACCUUUAAUCUGCUUUGUCUCUGUGAACUUUCCUAUUCUAAAGAUUUCAUAUAAGUGGAACCGUAUAUUUGUCUUUUUGUGACUGGCUCAUUUCACUAGGCAUAAUGUUUUCAAGGUUCAUCCUUGUAGCAUGUAUCAGACUUCAUUCCUUUUUAUGGCUGAAUAAUACUGAGUCCUCCAACUCUGUUCGUCUUUUUCAAGAUUAUUUUGGUCAUCUGAGACUCCUUGCAAUUCCAUUUGAAUUUAAGGAUUGGCUUCUCUAUUUCUGGGGGGAAAAAUGGUUGUCAGAAUUUUGAUGGGGAUUGUGUUGAAUCUGUAGAUUGUUUUGAAUAGGACUGGCAUUUUAGCAAUAUUGAGUCUGCCGACCCAGGAACUAAGGAUCUUUCCAUUUACCUAGGUCUUUUUAAGUUUCUUUUACCAAUGUUUGGUAGUAUUCAGCAUGCAGGUCUUUCACUUCCUUGGUUAAAUUUAUUCCUAAGCAUUUUAUUUGUUUAGCGCUAUUUAAAUGGAAUAGCCUUCUUAAUUUCCUUUUUAGAUUGUUCAUUGUACAUGUACAGAAAAACAACUAAUUUUUGUGUGUUGGUCUUGUAUCCUGAAGCUGUGCUGAAUUUAUUAACUCUAGUAGUUUCCUUCUGGAUUCACAUGUAUGUACUUCUAGCUACUCGGGAAGCUGGGGCAGAAGGAUCAGUUGAUCCAAGGAGUUUGAGGCCAGCCUGGAAAACACAGCAAGACACCUACAGGUGUGUGCCCCCACAUCUGGCUAAUUUUUGUAUUUUUAGUAGAGAUGGGGUUUCACCAGUUUGCCCAAGCUGGUCUCGAACUCCUAGGCUCAAGCACUCUACCUGCCUCAGCCUGCCAAAAUGCUGGAAUUACAGGCAUGAACCACCGUGCCCAGUCUAAAACUGUGAUAUCUUGUUCUCAUUAAUAGCUGUAGAAAUUAUAACUUUUGGCUGGGUGCGGUGGCUCACUCCUAUAAUCCCAGCACUUAGGGAGGUCGAGGUGGGCAGAUCACCUGAGGUCAGGAGUUCGAAACCAGCCUGGCCAACAUGGUGAAACCCUGUCUCUGCUAAAAAUACAAAAAACCAGGUGUGGUGGUACACACCUGUAAUCCCAGCUACUCAGGAGGCUGAGGUGCGAGAAUCACUUGAACCUGGCAGGUGGAGGUUGCAGUGAGUUGAGAUCGCACCACUGCACUCCAGCCUGAGCGACAGAGCAAGACUGUCUCAAAAAAAAAAAAAAAAGAAAAAAGAAAAGAAAAAAAAAUUAUAACUUUUUGUAAAUUUUUAUUAGGUUGGUGUCUUCUACUAUUUCAGUUGCAUAAAUAUCAUUUGAGGUGGGCUUAGUCUUUGAAGGCUCUUUCCAGCAGGUGUCUCUUUCACCAGGCUUAUUUAUAAGCCUUUAUUUUUUUUUUUUUUACAGUAAAAGAAAGUCUAUAAUAUAUCAACUGUGCCAAGGGAAGACAACAGUAAACUUACAAGUCUCUUUCCAGCAAUCUAAAUUAGUAAUUCAACAGGACAAAAUAAAGACAUUUUUAGACAAGAGCUUUAUCUCUCUGUGCUGCCUCCUGGUUAAUUUCCUUGGUUUUAUCUUUCAGUGUAUUAAUUCUUUCCAGCCGUAUUCAGUCUGCUGCUCAGUAUGACCAACGGGCCUUAGAUUCUCUGUGUGUGUAAUUUUUACUUCUAGAAGUUCUAUUUGGUUCUAUUGCAAAUCGACUUCUUGAUUUCUACUUUAUACUUUUAUGUCCUUAAUUUGUUUAAUUACACUUAUUUAUAGUCUUGUUCAGAUUGAUCAAAUCUGGUUGCUCACAUUUUCUGUUCUCUCUCAUUGAUCAUGUGUUUUAUUAUUUGGAAUUAUGAGCUCAUCUUUAGUGAGAAUCUGCAAUGAUUUGAUUUAGGCAUUUAUCUUCCAGCUCUGUUCUGUAUUUGCUUCUUCCAGACAAUGCAGGAAUCACAUGAACCUGUCCAUCCACAGAUAAAGUGGUAAAGAAACUGCCGUAUUAGAUACAUGAUGGUAUACUCUUCAGCCAUAAAGCUUCGGGAAACCCUGUCAUCCGCAACCACGUGGAGAAACCUGUCCAUCCACAGAUGAAGGGAUCAGGAAGCUCUGGUAUAUAUACUGAAGGGAAAUGCUUUUUGGCUACCAAAAUAAUGAAAUUUUGUUGUUUGGAGCAACACAGAUGAACCUGUCCAUCCACAAAUGAAGACAUCAAGAAACUCUAGUAUGUACACAAGGCAAAACACUUCAGCUAUCAAAAUCAUGACAUUAUGUCACUUGGAGCAACACAGUUGACCCGCCAAGGCAGCCUCUUCCUCCAUAGAUGGAUGAACGCUGUGGCCGCUGCUCCUGCCUGGGCCAUGCCCUGAUGCUGCCAACACCACUGCUCCUCUAUUUAUAAGUCUUAGUAGAGUUGCUGACCCAGCAAUAACUGAACAGCUGAUAUGUACCUCACACUAAGCCAGGCGCUUCAUAUGUAUCUAACUUGAAAAAUGCUGAGCUAGUUACCUUAACACCAUUAACUUUUACUUAAAAGUUUGUUUUUCUUUUUUAAUCCCAGUGAGCUCCAAACAAGUUUUAGGAGGCUCCCCAAAACCAGUGAAGACUUUAACUAAAAGUAGAAUUUCAAAGUAUUAGAAACCAAACCCCAAAAUUAAAUGUGAAGAUCAGUGUCUGUACUGAGCUGGCCCAUCUGGUGGACACAGGAUUUGCGUUAUCGACUGCAAUGUUACCCAGGAUUCACGAUUUCUAGCAUCUGUCAGGGUUAAGAAAAUUGGAUUGAGUACCAAAUACAGCAGAGCAAACCCGGCUUUGAGGCAAGGGCCCCAUCAAGUAGUCAUGCAGUACUUUUGUUAGGGUUCUGGGUGCAAAUCUUCCUCGUCCCUCCCACCUUCUCCUGGCCUCCUUGUAAACCCAAACCGCCAGGUACCUCAAUUUUCUUCAAGACCAGGCUGUUCUUAAUGUUGGUAAAUUGGUCAAGGAAAUGGGUGAGCCACUGCUUGCUCUGCACAUCGUCCUCAGAGUGCUCGGUCUUCAGGCAGUACAGCAGCUGCAUGGCUUUGGCCUGCAGGAGUAAGUGGCCCAUUCCUAGGCUGUCCCCAAAGAUGUGUCCUCUGAAGAAGCUGGUCAGGUAGAGGGGGUGUCCACUAUGGUUAUAGAUGGGGAAGGAGAUGCUGCCCAGGUCGAGCGUUUUGUCCACCUGCCAGGUGUACAGGAGUGGGUUGGGGGCACCACGCAGAGCAUCUUGUACCUCGCGCACACCUGCUGGUACUGGAGCUGGCUUGCGUUUCCCUGUGCCACACGCAGAUCCUGCACUGUACUGUCCAGUCAACUGACUUCAGCAAAGAUGUCUGGGUUCAGCAGCGAGUUGCUGUGUGAGGCCACCAGAAUGGAGGGCAGAGAAGCAGUAGGAGUCGGUGGUGAAAUGGCCCUGUGUGAAUGUGGAAGACCAGCAGAUUGGAGGUGGAAUUGGCCUCAGUGCUUGUCCUGGAGGUGGAGAAGCGGUCAGAGUCCUUGGUGGUGAAGUGGCCCUGCACAAAACGUUGCUCCCCCUUGGCCGGUGAAAGAAUAAAAGAAAGCUGGCCACUUGCAUUUCCGUUUCAGUUUAUAGAAUACAUGUUUUGGAAAUAGUAUCUUCUAGAUCUGUCUUUUUCUCUUCUGAUUUAACUUAGUAAAGCUAAGUUUUAUCUCUUCAUAGUCUUGCUUUUGUUUCAAAAGCUUUUAUGAGAUUUGUUUACUGUCUGUGGCUAUAUGGCAGACAAUUUGUUCAAGUGGCAUGCCUCCUCUUUCUCACAUUGACCUCCUCAGGAGGAGUUUUUCAAGGGCAAUGAGUCUUCUCUCUGAGAUAAGAAUAGUAGCCAGAAUUAAGAGGGUAAAGUGCAUUGUGGAAUUAAGUACUGAUUCCAGUGGAAACUCACUUUAUGGCCUUAGACAAAUAUUUACCCUUCUGAUCCUCAGUUUUCUGUCAAAGAACUUCUGCUCAUAUCCAAUUCCUAUAAAGUGGGAGUACUCUAACCUGAUAUUACCAACAUUAGGUUAGAUUUUAUCCUAAUGUUAGGUAUUAGAAUAUAUCCUAACAUUACUAGUUCUUCACUCUUACUAAAGUGCAUGUUAGAUUUCUUCAAUGAUUUUUUUAAAUUGGCAUGGUUGAUACAAAGCAUCCUUCUAUCCAAAUACUGUGCUCAGUCGCCUAAGUGAUAGUUUAGAACCAUACUAUCUCUCUGUGGAAAGAAUGCUGGGGCUCCUGGCUACACACUUUGAGUAGAAGGGAAAAUACCCCUCUUGUAUUUAUGAUGUUUUUUCUUUCUACUUGAUUAAGAAGAAAGUACAAAAAGGUGCUUAUUGAAGCAUUGUCAAUUUGGGAACAAGAUUCUCAGGAAUGAAAUAUUUGUGACUGUUCUCAGCAUGAAAGGUAGAGAGAAGAUUACUUGAUCAUUAUGUGCUUAUUUGAAAGUCACUUUCCUCCCAUGCCUCAACAUCUCACUUUUUAGAAUGCACACUGAAUGCCUGGAAUCUCUUUGUUUUAGAAAAGACAAAGUUGCAUUGUU